AUUGAACGCUGGCGGCAUGCCUUACACAUGCAAGUCGAACGGCAGCAUGAUCUAGCUUGCUAGAUUGAUGGCGAGUGGCGAACGGGUGAGUAAUACAUCGGAACGUGCCCUGUAGUGGGGGAUAACUAGUCGAAAGAUUAGCUACUACCGCAUACGACCUGAGGGUGAAAGUGGGGGACCGCAAGGCCUCAUGCUAUAGGAGCGGCCGAUGUCUGAUUCGCUAGUUGGUGAGGUAAAGGCUCACCACGGCGACGAUCAGUAGCGGGUCUGAGAGGACGAUCAGCCACACUGGGACUGAGAAACGGCCCAGACUCCUAGGGAAGGCAGCAGUGGGGAAUUUUGGAAAAUGGGCGAAAGCCUGAUCCAGCAAGGCCGGGGGUGUGAAGAAGGCCUUCGGGUGGUAAAGCACUUUUGUCCGGAAAGAAAUGGCUCUGGUUAAUACCUGGGGUCGAGGACGGUACCGGAAGAAUAAGGACCGGCUAACUACGU
rnacentral:rRNA from 1 species